rnacentral:rRNA from 1 species
GAGUGGUUUAGCUUAUCAUGUAAGUAAUAGGCUUCGCCUCUUCAUAAUUAAAAAGUGGUGUACAGGUGAGUAUAAUAAUAUUUAUGCCGGCCUUAGAGUGAAGAUAAAUUCUUCAUAUAAUAAAGGGAUUAAGUAUUCCCGCUUUAAGAGGAUGAUAAAUAUUUUCGGGAUAGGUAGUAGUGAAGGUUAUGUCUUCACUAGCCUUAACUCUCGUAGUCGAAGCUGAAAGGUUGAUCGACCACAUUGGGUCUGAAAAAAGCCCAAUGCAAGUUAGUACAGCAGUGAGGAAUAUUGGUCAAUGGCCUAACGGCUGAACUGGCAACUUGGAGAAGUGUUAAGUCUUUAUUUUUGUAUUGUAAUAGACUACGUUUUAAUAAGCUAUAUGUAAAUAUAGUGCUUAGGCGGAGCUUAUUAACACACAAAUUAAAGAUUAAAUUAGUAUUGAAUGAAACUUUGUUUAUAUAUCGAUAAUGACGAUAUAUAUAUUAUGUCUUGACCAAUUACGUGCCAGCAGUCGCGGUAAUACGUAAGAGACUAGUGUUAUUCAUCUUAAUUAGGUUUAAAGGGUACUCAAACGGUCUGUUUUGCACAAAAGACUAGAGUUAUAUAGAAGAAGGUAGUACCUUAAGUGUAGAGAUAAAAUUUUGUUAUACUGGAGGGACUUAGAAAAGGCGUAGGCAACCUUCUAAGUAAUAACUGACGUUGAAGGACGAAGGCAUAGGUCACGAACAGGACUAGUAACCCAAGUAGUCUUUGCAGUCAAUGAUGAAUGCCAUAGGUUAGAUAAAAAUUUAGUCUAUAAAUGAAAAUGUAAGCAUUUCACCUCAAGAGUAAUGUGGCAACGCAGGAACUGAAAUCACUAGACCGUUUCUGACACCAGUAGUGAAGUAUGUUAUUUAAU